rnacentral:rRNA from 1 species
AGUGAACGCUGGCGGUAGGCCUAACACAUGCAAGUCGAACGGCAGCACAGUAAGAGCUUGCUCUUACGGGUGGCGAGUGGCGGACGGGUGAGGAAUACAUCGGAAUCUACUUUUUCGUGGGGGAUAACGUAGGGAAACUUACGCUAAUACCGCAUACGACCUACGGGUGAAAGCAGGGGAUCUUCGGACCUUGCGCGAUUGAAUGAGCCGAUGUCGGAUUAGCUAGUUGGCGGGGUAAAGGCCCACCAAGGCGACGAUCCGUAGCUGGUCUGAGAGGAUGAUCAGACACACUGGAACUGGGACACGGUCCAGACUCCUACGGGGGGCCGCAGUGGGGAAUAUUGGACAAUGGGCGCAAGCCUGAUCCAGCCAUACCGCGUGGGUGAAGAAGGCCUUCGGGUUGUAAAGCCCUUUUGUUGGGAAAGAAAAGCAGCAGGUUAAUACCCCGCUGUUCUGACGGUACCCAAAGAAUAAGCACCGGCUAACUUCGUG